AACGUAGGGGUCGAGCGUUAUCCGGAAUUACUGGGCGUAAAGCGCGUGCAGGCGGAUUGGCAAGUCGGACGUGAAAGCUCCUGGCUCAACUGGGAGAGGACGUUCGAAACUGCCGAACUUGAGGACGGUAGAGGCGAGUGGAAUUCCCGGUGUAGUGGUGAAAUGCGUAGAUAUCGGGAGGAACACCAGAGGCGAAGGCGGCUCGCUGGGCCGGUUCCUGACGCUGAGACGCGAAAGCCAGGGGAGAGAA
rnacentral:rRNA from 1 species